CAGCAACUUUUCCUUUGCGCAGGUUUUGAUAAAUUUCCCCCACUGAGAGCAAGUAGAUGAGUACCUAUGAGGACCAGGACAUUUUGAAUAACGGCAGAGGAAGACUGGAAGCCAUAUUUACAAGUCAAGAAUAGAUGUUUGAAAACAGUAAACCUUGGAAAACAUCAAAUGAAGUAUCCAGGAAAGGAGGCUAAGUGAUGAAAAAGGAUUUUCUGGAAAAAAAAGGACAUUAAUGAAGCAGAGGUUUGUGGCAUGGCCUGACGACUAUAACAAUGGCACUGUGGACACCUACAGUCAUGGAAAUAUUUAAGUGGAACGGGGCCGGGCACAAGGCCUUAUUAUGUGAGCCAGAAGCAGAAACACCUCUUCUUUACCUGAAAAUCCUGAUUAAUUCAUAACUAGCAGCGCAUCUAUAAUUCACAGCUUCACUCAACUGAGCAACUUGACUGCUGAAUAAAUUAUUAAGGGGUUUAUUAACCUUUACACUGCCAAAUAUUAAGUCAUCAAAAGUCCUUUACACAGCCAAACCAAUCAACAAGUCAAAAGUUGCA